UGAAGUCAGCUAGGCCAAGAGCCCACUGGAAGGAACCAACUCCGGACACAGCAUGACAUAGUACUGUAUUGGCCACAGCAUCACAAUGAGUCACCAAUGGAUGUCUUCUACCUAAGGAGGACUUCUCCAGGAGGGUUAUGACUCCACAGAAGAGGUGGAAUUUAUCUUCCCCACUCCUUCCUGUCUCCUGUAUACCAAUUGCCAAUGUACACCCCCAGAUAGCCAAAGGCCUCUCGCUUCUGGGUUGCACCAUCUAGCCCCUUGGUGGCUUCUAAGUCUCACUUCUGUCCUCUAUUAAAUGACCUUCCUUAUGGGGUGUUUUGAGGAUUAAACAAGUUAAUGAAUGCAGACAGGGCAUGGUGGCUCACGCCUGUAAUCCUAGCACUUUGGGAGGCUGAGACAGGUGGAUCACCUGAAGUCAGGAGUUCAAGACCAGCCUGGCCAACAUGGUUUCACUACAGAGUGGCAACCCCACUUCAUCUCAGCCAAGAAACUCACGUUCAAGAAAAAACAUCCAAGGCCUGCGGAGAACAGAUCUAACGCCAACACAGUCAAAUUAAACCCUGAAGCCAAAACAUCUAAAAAUAGGCCUGUUUUGUGUAUUCUGGGUCGCUUGCAUUUCCAUAUGAAUUUUAAGAUCAACUUUCCAACUUCUGCAUAGAAAGCAGUGGCUCUCGUCUGGGGUGACUUUGCCUCCCUGGAGAUGUUUGGCAAUAAUAUUUGGAGACAUUUUGGUUCACACAACUGGAGGGCCGUGGAUGCUACUGGCACCUAGUGGUAGAGCCCAGGGAAGCUGCUAAACAUUCUGCACUGAACAGGACAUCCCCACAACAAAUGAAUUAUUAGGUCUAACGUCAAUAGGGUGGAGGUUGAGAAAUCCUGCUAUAAAUCUCGUUUAAAUCCCUGAGGAUGUGGGCUUUUGAAAUAAUAAUAAAUAAUUUUAAUUUGA